UCCUUUUUUUCUUUUUUUCUUUUUUCUAAUGAACCAGUUUAUUUAUUUAUUGAGAAUUUUUUGAUUGCUUUUUAAAAUAGGCGAAGGGCGGACUGAAGCCCG
rnacentral:ribozyme from 1 species